AUUGAACGCUGGCGGCAGGCCUAACACAUGCAAGUCGAGCGAGAGUCGGACGGGUGAGUAAUGUAUGGGGACUGCCCGUUAGAGGGGGGGAACCACUGGCAAAGCGAGCUAAUACAGCAUACUAUCGGAUAACCCAUAUGGGAUUAGCUGGUAGGGGAGGUAAUGGCCCACCUAAGCGACGAUCCCUAGAUGGUCUGAGAGGAUGAUCAGCCACACUGGAACUGAGACACGGCCCAGACUCCUACGGAGGCAGCAGUGGGGAAUAUUGCACAAUGGGCGCAAGCCUGAUGCAGCCAUGCCGCGUGUAUGAAGAAGGCCCUAGGGUUGUAAAGUACUUUCAGUCGGGAGGCGUUACCGACAGAAGAAGCACCGGCUAACUCCGUGCCAGCAGCCGCGGUAAUAC
rnacentral:rRNA from 1 species